rnacentral:rRNA from 1 species
UUCUGCCACCGAAUACAUUAGCAUGGGAUAAUGGAAUAGGACCCUGUCCUCCUAUUUUCAGUUGGUUUUGGCAGCGCGAGGACUAGGGUAAUGAUUAAUAGGGAUAGUUGGGGGCAUUAAUAUUUAAUUGUCAGAGGUGAAAUUCUUGGAUUUAUGAAAGAUUAACUUCUGCGAAAGCAUCUGCCAAGGAUGUUUUCAUUAAUCAAGAACGAAAGUUAGGGGAUCGAAGACGAUCAGAUACCGUCGUAGUCUUAACCAUAAACGAUGCCGACCAGCGAUUAGGAGACGUUGAAUACAAAACACCACCAUCGGCGCGGUCGUCCUUGGCGUCUCGGUCCUUCACGGGGCCGGGGCGCGGGGGCGGCUUAGCCCGGUGGCACCGGUGAAUGACUCCCCUAGCAGCUWGUGAGA